AUGGUGGACUUGUUGUAGAAUUAUUAGGCCUCUAUAAAUUUGUAAGGCCCCUUUAAAUCCUCUUGCUAUACCUCUAAGAGGCCCCCAUAGUUUUACAAGGAAGCUUUGUCUAUAGAACAUAGAAUUUGCAUGUCAGCAAGAAAUAGCUUUGAUAAAAUGUGUAUUUACUAAAAUCCUUGAAACUUAACCUUGAGAAACUAACAAGUGCCAGCUACGCUCCAAAUGGAUAGCUGCCAAAAG